UACGAAGGGGGCUAGCGUUGCUCGGAAUUACUGGGCGUAAAGCGUACGUAGGCGGCUUUGUAAGUUAGAGGUGAAAGCCCGGGGCUCAACUCCGGAAUUGCCUUUAAGACUGCAUCGCUUGAAUCAUGGAGAGGUGAGUGGAAUUCCGAGUGUAGAGGUGAAAUUCGUAGAUAUUCGGAAGAACACCAGUGGCGAAGGCGACUCACUGGACAUGUAUUGACGCUGAGGUACGAAAGCGUGGGGAGCAAACAGGG
rnacentral:rRNA from 1 species